GGGAACCACAGAACAAGUUCUGGGCUGGAGAUGUAGAUUUCAUUUGAGAGCUGCCAGUAGUAGAGACGGUAAUUGAAGCCAUGGGAAUGGAGGUGAUUGUCCAGGGAGUGUAGGUAAAGUGAGAAUAGAUAAGUGCCAAAGGGCACAGUCUGGGUAUGUCAACAUUUAAGUGACAAUUUCAGAAAGAGAAGCCAAGGAAGAAACCAGAGAAAAGCAGUUGGAGAAGCAAGAAGGCAACCAGAAGUGGCCUUGGUACAGCUGUGAUGGGGAGACAAUGACGAAACAGCAGGAACUGGCACUGAGAGUUAUUGGUGUAGCUUGGGCUCUCCCCUCAUCAUCCUCUCCAGCUGGGAGUCAUGUGACAGAAGCAAGAAGCCUGUCACAGCGCACAUGUAAAAGAGCAAACUCCAGACACACACGUCUUAUCUGUGCUGACGGCCCACCUUGGUGACUGGAAAUGACACCAUCCAAUUUUUUCUGGCCGCAAUGUUGCACCCCUGAUUUUUUCCUUCAUAUGACAGACUUCACAGCAAAUACUCCUACUGAGUCCAAACAACCGCUACGAUUGAGAACAAGCAUGAAUCCGCCACCCACCUUCUCCUGGAAAUAAGGUUAUUGGGUUGCUGAACUCCCAUGAACCAAAAAGAAAACACUGAAUGGUAUCCAAACCAGCCUGGAAAGGACAGCGAGAAAAGCCAGAACCAAGGCUGACCAGCCUGAAUGCUGGUAAAUGUUAUCAAGAAUCUGGAGCAGGAGCCUCAGUCUCCUAUCAAAAGGAGAAGAACCUGAAGAAAACACUUCUCUUCCUUCUCUCUGCCUAGGGGCAGUGACCUUGGAUUCAACCACCAUCAUCCCUUCCAGACACCAGAGGGGGGAGUCCCACAAGGCAGAAGGUGCCCCUGUGACCCAUCCACUUCUCUUCCAUGUUCUUUACCUCCUUGCUCAGGAAGCCAUAAAGUUGAGCUGAGUGGAAGGUGAAUUUCAUUGCAAAGUUUACACAGGCUCUGCUGACAGGUUCAUGAAAACACUACUGAAUAUGUUACAUACCACCAAGGCUCACAGCACAUCCUGUGUUGGAAGUGAUACUUUUCCAUUACCAGUAAACCUCCUUUUGUCCUAGGAGCUCACUGAACAGCUAAAAUCAGGUGAUAUUUUUAUGUGGAACAUGCAACGUAUUAAGUCCUUUUGCUCAGUGACCCAAAAAGGAACUAAACGGUACCCAGACUAGAAAUCAAUGUCAAAUUAUUCAAAUAAAUUCCACUUAAAGAAAAAAAAAAAAA
rnacentral:lncRNA from 1 species